UACAGAGGUCUCAAGCGUUGUUCGGAUUCAUUGGGCGUAAAGGGUGCGUAGGCGGCGCGGUAAGUCGGAUGUGAAAUCUCGGAGCUUAACUUCGAAACUGCAUUCGAUACUGCCGUGCUUGAGGACUGGAGAGGAGACUGGAAUUUACGGUGUAGCGGUGAAAUGCGUAGAUAUCGUAAGGAAGACCCGUGGCGAAGGCGGGUCUCUGGACAGUUCCUGACGCUGAGGCACGAAGGUCAGGGGAGCAAACGGG
rnacentral:rRNA from 1 species